AGAAUAAACUAAAAAUGGAUUAAAGACUUAAGUGUAAGAUUUGAAACCAUAAAAAUCUUUGAAGAAAACAUAAGCAGUAAGAUCUUGAACAUUUCUUAUAGCAAUAUUUUUUAUUCUGAUAUAUAUCUUCAGGCAAAGGAAACAACAAAAAAUAAUAAACAAAUGGGACUAUAUCAAACUAAAAAAUUUUUACAUAGCAAAGAAAACCAUCAACAAAAUGAAAAGACAACCCACUGAAUGAGAAAAUAUGUUUGCUAAUGAUAUAUCUGAUAAGGGGUUAAUAUCCAAAAUUUAUAAAGAACUGACAAAACAAACAAUCCAAUUUAAAAAUGAGCAAAGGACGUGAAUAGAUACUUCUCUAAGAGGGACAUACAAAUUGCCCAUAGACAUAUAAAAAGAUGCUCCACAUCACUAAUUAUUACAGAAAUGGAAAUUAAAACUACAAUAAGGUAUCACCUUAUACCUGUCAGAAUGGCUAUCAUCAAUAAAUCAACAAGUGUUGGUGGGAAGUGGAGAAAAGGGAACACUUGUGCACUGUCGGUGGGAAUGCAGAUUGGUGUAGCCACUGUGGAAAGCAGUAUGGAGUUACUUCAAAAAAUUAAAAAUGAAACCGCCUUAUGACCCUUCAAUUCCACUUCUGAGAAUAUAUCUGAAGAAACCUGAAACACUGAUUCAUAGGAUAUGUGCCCAUCAGUAGAUGAGUGGAUAAAAAAGCUGUGGCACAUUAACACAAUGGAAUACUACUGAGCUGUAAAAAGGAAGGAAAUCUUACCCUUUGCAACAACAGCAUGGAUGGACCUGAAGGAAGGACAUUGUGACACAUGCUGCAACCUGAAGACAUGAUGCUCAGUGAAACAAGCCAGUCACAGAAAGACAAAUACUGUGUGAUCCCGCUCACAUGAGGUCUCUGGAGCUGUCAGUCAUAGAGACGGAGGCCUCUUAAGAGAACGAAAGGAUGCCAUGUUGGGGGAGUCGCCACUGUGUGCGCAGGCGCAGAGAGGUGUCCACGCAGGCCAAGUGCUGCUUUCUCACACCUUUGAGGACAGCCGAGCAGCCCUGCCUGAUGCACAGCCACCUGUAGCUGAUGGAUGGAACCCGCAUGGCGACCCCACCCACCAGCAGUGCCACUGAGACACUGGGCAGGGGACAGCUGAGAAGUGCCAGACAGGACUUAAAUGGUGACCCGUUUUUAA